rnacentral:rRNA from 1 species
CACGUAGGGCGCAAGCGUUGUCCGGAAUUAUUGGGCGUAAAGAGCUCGUAGGCGGUCUGUUGCGUCCGCUGUGAAAACUCGGGGCUUAACCCCGAGCCUGCAGUGGAUACGGGCAGACUAGAGGUAGGUAGGGGAGAAUGGAAUUCCCGGUGUAGCGGUGAAAUGCGCAGAUAUCGGGAGGAACACCGGUGGCGAAGGCGGGUCUCUGGGCAGUAACUGACGCUGAGGAGCGAAAGCGUGGGGAGCGAACAGGG